rnacentral:lncRNA from 1 species
UUUCAUAAUACUGUUCUAAAUGUGUUUUUGUUUUCAGUUAUUUUUCCUCCUCUAGCCAGUUAAUCCAUACUUUAUAUCAGUAAGAUAAGAUAAAUUUUAUGGCAACAAUCUACUCAAGCAGUGGGGCUUUUCUAUCAUUUUUUUGUUUAAUGAGCUUCAAUUAAAUUUUUUCAGGGAUUUCUAGAUGUUUCCCAAGUUACCAACGUGUGCCAGGUAUGGAUUCUGUGGUGGAGGUACAUUCUUGAGCUAUAACCUAGUGAAAAAAACACAAUUCCUAACAUGUGUUAAGUGUGGAUCAUAUCCUGGAAUUACGUUCUUUGGAAGAGCCUAUUGAGAAAGUAGACAAGGAAACUGGUGUUUUAUAGCAGGUAAGUUUAGUGGUAAUUUGUUAGACAAUAAUAGUAACUAGAAUAUC